AACGAACGCUGGCGGCAGGCUUAACACAUGCAAGUCGAGCGCCCCGCAAGGGGAGCGGCAGACGGGUGAGUAACGCGUGGGAACGUACCCUUUGCUACGGAAUAGCUCCGGGAAACUGGAAUUAAUACCGUAUGUGCCCUACGGGGGAAAGAUUUAUCGGCAAAGGAUCGGCCCGCGUUGGAUUAGCUAGUUGGUGGGGUAAUGGCCUACCAAGGCGACGAUCCAUAGCUGGUCUGAGAGGAUGAUCAGCCACAUUGGGACUGAGACACGGCCCAAACUCCUACGGGAGGCAGCAGUGGGGAAUAUUGGACAAUGGGCGCAAGCCUGAUCCAGCCAUGCCGCGUGAGUGAUGAAGGCCUUAGGGUUGUAAAGCUCUCUCACCGGAGAAGAUAAUGACGGUAUCCGGAGAAGAAGCCCCGGCUAACUUCGUGCCAGCAGCCGCGGUAA
rnacentral:rRNA from 1 species